UCUACGGGUGGCUGCAGUAGGGAAUAUUGCUCAAUGGGGGAAACCCUGAAGCAGCGACGCCGCGUGAGUGAAGAAGUAUUUCGGUACGUAAAGCUCUAUCAGCAGGGAAGAAAAUGACGGUACCUGACUAAGAAGCCCCGGCUAACUACGUGCCAGCAGCCGCGGUAAUACGUAGGGGGCAAGCGUUAUCCGGAUUUACUGGGUGUAAAGGGAGCGUAGACGGCAGCGCAAGUCUGGAGUGAAAUCCCAUGGCUUAACCAUGGAACUGCUUUGGAAACUGUGCAGCUGGAGUGCAGGAGAGGUAAGCGGAAUUCCUAGUGUAGCGGUGAAAUGCGUAGAUAUUAGGAGGAACACCGGUGGCGAAGGCGGCCUGCUGGACUGUGACUGACGUUGAGGCCCAAAGGCGUGGGGAGCAAACAGGAUUAGAUACCCCGGUAGUC
rnacentral:rRNA from 1 species